rnacentral:rRNA from 1 species
UGCGGAAGGAUCAUUACCUAGAGUUGUAGGCUUUGCCUACCAUCUCUUACCCAUGUCUUUUGAGUACCUUCGUUUCCUCGGCGGGUCCGCCCGCCGAUUGGACAAAUUUAAACCCUUUGUAAUUGAAAUCAGCGUCUGAAAAAACUUAAUAGUUACAACUUUUAACAACGGAUCUCUUGGUUCUGGCAUCGAUGAAGAACGCAGCGAAAUGCGAUAAGUAGUGUGAAUUGCAGAAUUCAGUGAAUCAUCGAAUCUUUGAACGCACAUUGCGCCCCUUGGUAUUCCAUGGGGCAUGCCUGUUCGAGCGUCAUUUGUACCUUCAAGCUCUGCUUGGUGUUGGGUGUUUGUCUCGCCUCUGCGUGUAGACUCGCCUUAAAACAAUUGGCAGCCGGCGUAUUGAUUUCGGAGCGCAGUACAUCUCGCGCUUUGCACUCAUAACGACGACGUCCAAAAAGUACUUUUUACACUCUUGACCUCGGAUCAGGUAGGGAUACCCGCUGAACUUAAGCA